UUCAGCCAGUGUAUUCCUUUGAGUGAUUUAUAGUAUCUAGUCAUACCGUUAGGUCUUUAUUCCAUUUUGAGCUUAUUUUUGUAUAUGAUGUUAGAGAAUGUUCUAAUUUCAUUCUUUUACAUGUAGCUGUCCAG